rnacentral:misc_RNA from 1 species
UAAAGUGCGAUAUGUAGUGCGAUUUGCAUGAAUCUGUGAGUCAUCUAAUCUUUGAACGCAACUUGCGCCUCUCUGAGGCAUGUCUGUUUGAGUGCCGCAUACAUCUAUGCAGCAAUGCGAUUUGAUUGACGUCUCCGGACUCGGUCUAAACGUAGCCAGAUAGUGGCCAAUGCUACUAGUCCGAGUGCUAAGCAUUCUUGGAUCUAGUUGGUAUGAACCACAAACUAACUAUCUUUUUUACUUUGGCCUCAAAUCAGGCAAGACUACCCGCUGAACUUAA